UACACCGCAAACUCGUUUACGUCAUAUGUUUUUGUCCUCAUACUUUUAAGUUUUAUACGGCCUUUUCAUAGUUUGGAAAUAUAGACUUUGCAAUAGUGAUAUGACGUUAGAUGCUACUUGACUACGUCUUCAGCACGGGUAUUUCCCCUGUUAAUAUGCCACCUGUCGGAGCUGGGAAAGAAUACAAGUUCGAGGGGCAAGGGUUCGAAUCCAGACUGAGCUCAGUUCUAGAGCACAUUGACUCCGCUCUGGGGCUUCUUGCGGAUGGCCACCCGGCCAGACCACAUUGUGAGCUGGCCAGACGGAAGCUGGAAGACUUGUUAAAGGCAGAGCAGAACACAGUCAACCAACAGGACCUCACACAACCAUGGGACCUGCUGGGACAAGGAGCUUUUGCAAAGGUCUUCAAAGCGCGGUUGAAAGGCUCGACUGUCGCAGUCAAGGUGCAGAUCAAGUAUGACAGGACGAUAACCGAACAACGGGUGCUGAGG